ensembl:lncRNA
GUGAGUAAAUUAUUUUCCUUUAUUAAUGUUGACGUUUUUGGGAUGUCUCCUCAGACACAAGCCAUCAGUAUCCCUGCUCUUUGCACCUUGCUUUGCUGAUUUGUAUCUUGUGAUGUGUGUGUGUUUUUCUUAACAGGUGUUGGAUGACUGACAAGAUCUAUGGGGGGGCCCCCUUUGGGCCCCCCCAUACCAACUUAGUCUUCAAAGGAAUCUAGUGCCAUGGGACUCCAGUGUCUUCAAAACAUCCUCGGAAUACAUGUGUAUGAAGGGUCCACCGAAGGGUUGAUCUGGAAGCCACCACGGUCCACGCAGUAAUCUGCUGCGUGGGCCGUAGUGGCUUCCAGAGCCAUCUUUCGAUCUUGGUCAGGAUUUGUUACAGUUGCCCUUCAAUGUAGCAGGCUACGGGUUUCUGAAGAAGCCUGCUUUACGUAGCAUUGGAGUACAAAUAUUGUGCAAAAUGCUCAUGUUAUUGCACUAGCACUGGUAACCUGUAGAUUAGCUUAGUUUAACGUCAUUCCGUGCUGUCUGUGUCAAAUGUGUGGCUUACUUUAAGCCCACAAGGCCCUCUGGUAAACCACGUUGGAACACCCCUGGACAAGUUGAUUAGUCACUGGGUGUGUGCUAAAGUUUUGUUCCAUUUUUCACUAGUUGGUUAAGGUUUGGUAGAAUUGUUUGGAUGCUAGCGACGUGAUGGCGUAUGUACAAGAGCCUACCGUGGCCAGGCCAAAGUUGCGACGGCCACGGCCAGAUGGCCUAGUGUGAGUGCAACCUUGAUUGUAUUUGUAUACUGUAUACCAUUGGAUGUUUAUGCAAUUUGGCUUAAUUCAUCCGCUGUAAAGCUGCAUUCCAGGGUCGUUUUGUACAGGCUUUCAAUUGACCAUGUUGACUAGUUUGUGGGAAGUUUUUUUUUUUUUUUUUUACCCUUGCUUACAAUCCAACGGUUGCGACCACUUAUGCAACUGGGCUGUGAACCUUGCAAUUCUAGUUGCAUAUUUGUACACCCAAGCUUGUCCAUUUCUAUCGCCAUCACUAACACUAGCUUCAGCAUUUCCUUGUAGGCCAUUAGCUGACUUGUGUAUUGGAGCGAUGACUUGGGUAUUUUAAGAUGCUUGAAAACCUAAAAUAAAGCAAAAUGCGUGUCUGGUGUGCAAGAGCCAAUUUGUUGGCUUGCAGUAGUCGAGGAGUUGCCGUAGGUCGUAAGCCAUCUGGAGGUUGUGGCAAUGGAGGCUUGUGGUAGAUCUGCCAUCCAAGAAAGGGGGACUUGACUGGUGAGUCUACUGGUUUAAUCAGUAGCGGUACUUUGCCCAACAGAUUUGAUUGCAUGACUACAGGGUGACAAAGACAAUUAUUCCCUGCCUAUCAAAAGAGACUUCUAAAACAUAUCUGCUUGAACAGUUCCUAUACUUUUUGUAUAAUUUGGUCAUGCUGCAAAUUGUCUUUUUGUAGUUGCUCCAUGUUUGGUUCUUUGACAGCCUCACCUGCUAGAAAAGUCUAUUCAAAUCGGCUAAAUAUAAUGAACUAAAUUAAUAGCCAUGAAAUGUUGUCACUCAUACUAAUGGCAAAUCCCCUCUUUCAGUUGGUGGUUCAACACUGAUGUCUCUAGGCUUGAGGGAGAGCUCACAAGUAAAUUACACAAAUGUCCUGGAGCAAUUGGGAAUACACUUUUAUUUAGUCUACCUGACUAGGGACAUCUUUGAACUAUAGGUCACCUAACCCAAACUUUUCACUCUUGUUAGGUUGUCCUUUUCUCUUGUUUUAACCCGAAAGGGCUGAAAAUAUCAACUUUUCAGGUAUUCUGUUUGGAUAAUGUGCAAAACUUGUG